GCAUUGGUACUUAAGUAUUUAUUGAGACAAAUACAAACUGGUGGCAUCCAAAUUAAAAACAAAAUGGUGAACUGUAUUUGUAAGUGGGCCAUCAGAUACUGUUUUGCAGGUCCAGGGUCCUACAGUGAGCUGUAAGGAAAUAUGCACAUAUUUCACCCAUACCAGCACAGGCUGUAAGGACUUUGGCGCUUUUGGUAUUGGCGGGGGCGGGUGGCAAGAAACUGAACUACUUGUCAGGUUAAGGGAAUACUGUUGUCUAUGCAGAGUCUUUAAAACAGCAACAAAUACAGAGUCAAAACAUGUAACACUCCAUCCUCCUUCAAAAGCUCUUUAUUCCUAUGUAGCUAAUAAUUUAAAAUUUUCAACUUUCACUUUGCUGGAAAUACUUGGCAUAAGCAAAACACUCAAAACCCUUUCAAUUACUAGUUAAAAUAAAUUUUACCAUAAUUUAAUACAUUAAAAACACUGAAGACUUGUUUUUGUGGUUUAAACAAAGUGACUGACCCUCAAGUAGAAUGCCUUUUUAAAGAUUCCUAAAUACCUGGGUGAACAACUGCUGAACCAAUCCAGAGAAGUAGUUAGGCUAUUCUUUAUAAUACUGGCAAUUGAUGGCUUAUUAUCCAUGUGUUGGCUUUAUUUCUGUGGUCUCAUUAGCAGCCCAAAAGCAAGGCUUGCAGUCACUCAAAACUUACCUUCCGGGGGCCCACCUUCUGGCUUCAACAUGAUUAACUGAUAUGCCAGACUCCUCAAGGUGGACUGGCCACUUCAGUGUACAUUUAGAGAUGCAGUUAGAUUUCUGAGUUGCCCAAGUUCACUUCUAGUCAUUUAUUAACUGAAUUGAUAAUACAGCAAUAAGACAACAUAAUUUCUCAUCAUUGUAUCAGUCCUAAGAUUUUAGCUUAGGACAUGCUUACUGAAAUUGUGUUCUCUGCUCAAGUCCUAAUACUUAUUGCACUGAUUGUUUUAUUAUGAAUACAACUUUCUUUUGCCUUUUAAAAAGGCUAGGGCUUCAACAUGAGAAUUACUAUACGUAGAAGAUCACUUUCUAAAAGUAAAAUAAAGUAGAAAAGUGUCUUCAAAAGGAGAAGUUCCCCAAGAGAAAAAGGGCAGCAAGGCCACAUUUCCUUUUCCUUCAUUGUUUAGUCCUGUUUUCUAAUUUUGGGAACCAAGUGCUGAAUUCAUAAAUAGAAACAGACUUAGGCUUUUGUUGUGAAGGCAAAGUAAUACUUAAAACACAUAAUCUUUUACAGGGCUAUAUAACUGAAUCCACAGUUGGAUCUAGGUUUUAAUCUCAACUUACAUAUAGCAAAUCAUAAUACUUUAUGUAUAACAUUAAACAGGACCCUUUUUUUUUUCCUGUAACCCAGGAUAGGCAACUAUGUAUUUUAUUUGAGCAGAAAUUUCAGAAUUUCAAAGAUGUACUACUCUAGAGCUUUAGGACUAAAUGAUGUUUCAACUUGAAUUCCUCAGUGGCAAGGUAGUACAUAAUGCUAAUGUGCAGAUUAAGUGCUAAGUUUAUAAUAUUUCCCAAUUUUUUUGUAUCGGGGAUCAAACUCAGGACCCUGCGCUUGUGAGGCAGGCAGCGGCACCACCGAACUAAACCCCUGGCCCUCCGAAUUUUUAAUAGAAUUAAAAGAUUUUUUGUUUUUUUACUGGGAAGCACCGUAAAACUAAAUUUUCCCAGAGGCUUCAAGUGAAUGAUCUAUUUAGUACUCUGAUAUAUUUAACUGAUAAGCUUUUGGUAAAGUUGGACUUAAUAUAAAAUUAUUUU
rnacentral:lncRNA from 1 species